GGGUCCUUAGACAAAGUAACAUCGCUUGGUAGCGAAACGAUAUCUAAAAUCGUCAUCGUCUCAACGAUAACGACAAACAUUUCUUAGACAAAGUAACAUCGCGAUCGUUAUCGUUGUGUCGAAUCGAUUGUUCGUUAAAAAGCAAAAAUAUUGUUUAUGGUAACGAAAAUUUAGCUGUCAGUGUCACUCAAGAAGUUCAAAUCGGAUUAUUCCCGCGAGUUAUUACUGUUUUCGAAUUUUACUGAUAAGAAUAAGUGAGUUGUUGGCGAUCGCCGUACUUCGUGAGGGUGAUGAUAUCACGGUCAGCGACGUUGGAGUGCUGGGUGACGUCACGGGAUCGGCACGGUGGUCGCCGCACCGGUGGGCUUCAAGUGGUUGUGCUGCGAUGCCCAGACGUAAAUAUCCGAAAACUGCUGGGCUCAAGUGCUUCCCAAGAGAAAUAUGACUUUAUAAGUUCAAUUUCGAACUAGCCCUCGCAUAAGACAGUCCACGUUAUUUCUAUGAUAGUGAUGAAACAUGGAAUCAAGAAUGCGAACAAGUUCCCAACAAUUGUCAAUGCUGCUUGAGGAUAUAGCAAAUCAUGGUGCCCGGCGAGGCCUCUUGCUGCAUCACUAGGUUGGGUACAGUCAGACCGACUGUGGACUGAACUGACAAACAUAUUGAAUGCUGUUGGUGGUGGUGGCAGCAAGACUACAGAUAAGUGAUAAAAAGCGUGAUCCGCGGUUGAGAUCGCCAGCGACACCGCAGUCUGCUGUUUCUCCCGGCCCUCGUUUGAGCGACACCCUUCGAGAUAGCGGCAAGCGAGUAGCUAAAAAGCUAAGAGCACACAGCACCUGAAAAUUAUACUAAUACAGAUUUAGAUUAUGUGGUUUUAUUUUUACUUACCUCUACAGCAGUUAAUAAAGUAUUGUGUCGUACCACAAUAUUUUUGUUAUAUAGUUCCUAUAAUAUAUAAAACUAACCGACGAAUAAUGCUUUAACUCAAGUUAUUAGGAUCAAUAACCAACAACAAAAGUAUAUGUUUGCCUGCAAUAGGUACCUAUAAUUAUAUUGUUUAAUUAAUGUAAAAUUUCUUACCUUUAGUUC